rnacentral:rRNA from 1 species
UACGUAGGGGGCCAGCGUUGUCCGGAUUUACUGGGCGUAAAGCGUGCGUAGGCGGAAGUUUAAGUGUGGCCUGAAAGCCCCGGCUCAACUGGGGAACUGCGCGGGAAACUGUCGGACUUGAGUUCGGGAGAGGGAAGCGGAAUUCCGGGUGUAGCGGUGAAAUGCGUAGAUAUCCGGAGGACACCAGUGGCGAAGGCGACCACCUGGACUGAUACUGACACUGAGGUGCGAAAGCGUGGGGAGCAAACAGG